CGUGAAUAAAAUCGUACAAAACAGGCCCUUACACUAGCGUUACACAUUGAGCUAACGUUGGCGUAGCUAGCUUAGAACAACGUCUUCCUCCAACCGCUUGCCCUACGCUUGUGACGUUCUUCACAUUUGACCUUCGACAUUGUGCUUUACGUUUCAUACGUGUUUUUCGGCAUUCGUGUACAUCAUGUCAGUCUGGAAAAAUAUAAAUAAAUAUCAGUCUGUCAGCUCAAAUUUUCUGAUAAAUGUUGCAAGACGUUUGGCUUUGAUAAUAAGCUGAAUGAAAAUAAUAACACCCGUUUUAUAAUGUAGAAUUCUGGCUGCAGACACGAAAUGCAUAAGAAACAGACACUGAUCUUAGAGAAUGGCAAUACAAUUUAGCAGCACGAUAAACAUUGCAACCAAACUGGAAAGGUGCUACCGAGAGUGACAACUGGCUGGAUUUUAUUGCCCAUUGUUAAUGACAAAUUAUGCAGAGAUGGGGUAUCUUGACCUGUUUGAAAGGGGAAUCAGUUGUUUUUUUCAGUCUUGUCACAAGUUAGUUUUAUGAGACAUUUUUUUUCGUUUAUUAGUGGUGCCCAUUUACGGCCAAAACACCUGUUCACAGAUCCGGACAUUAUGGGUAUUCCCCACCUGUGCAGGAGUGACUUCUCUUGGUGAUCGCACAGCGCACUGCUCUGGGUCAUCAACAUAACUAUGCCCCCUAUGCCGCAUGCAUCCUGGUCGAUUCACGUUGCCCAGUACAUCUGCAAAAUAGUUUGGCUGGUGUCAUGUAGUGUUUCAAUGUUUGCCAUUGUGCACCUCCAAUAAAGUUUUAAUGUCGCAUAUAAUGA